rnacentral:rRNA from 1 species
GCGGCAGCUUACACAUGCAAGUCGAGCGGUAACAGAGAUAGCUUGCUAUCUGCUGACGAGCGGCGGACGGGUGAGUAAUGCUUGGGAAUAUGCCUUUGAGUGGGGGGCAACAGUUGGAAACGACUGCUAAUACCGCAUAACGUCUACGGACCAAAGGGGGGGAUGCUUCGGCACCUCUCGCUCAUUGAUUAGCCCAAGUGAGAUUAGCUAGUUGGUAAGGUAAUGGCUUACCAAGGCGACGAUCUCUAGCUGGUUUGAGAGGAUGAUCAGCCACACUGGGACUGAGACACGGCCCAGACUCCUACGGGAGGCAGCAGUGGGGAAUAUUGCACAAUGGGCGAAAGCCUGAUGCAGCCAUGCCGCGUGUGUGAAGAAGGCCUUCGGGUUGUAAAGCACUUUCAGCGAGGAGGAAAGGUUAGUAGUUAAUAGCUGCUAGCUGUGACGUUACUCGCAGAAGAAGCACCGGCUAACUUCGUGCCAGCAGCCGCGGUAAUACGAGGGGUGCAAGCGUUAAUCGGAAUUACUGGGCGUAAAGCGUGCGUAGGUGGUUUGUUAAGCAAGAUGUGAAAGCCCCGGGCUCAACCUGGGAACUGCAUUUUGAACUGGCAAACUAGAGUUUUGUAGAGGGUAGUGGAAUUUCCAGUGUAGCGGUGAAAUGCGUAAAGAUUGG